AAGCAAGAUCCUAUUACAGCUUACGUACAUGUAUGGAACAAUUUUAAAGGUGCAAGCAGUACCUCUGGAGCAAGCGUUUCUGAGUUUAUCGGGUGUGGUGGACAUCAAGGGGAGAUAAUUCUCAUCACCACAGUGGCUACACACAUUCACAUCAAACUGGUAACGGGAUCUCUAACCACUGCUCCUCUGAGGACCGAGACUUUCCUCAAGCUGACAACCAUGGUUAUAUCAACUCCCGUGAAUCCACCAGCUGCUCGUUAUAUAGUGGUCAAACCACGAUAUCCAUUGAUUUCACUCAGUGACGUGAAAUGUCAUCUACUCAUACAUGUAUGUGUGUAUGAAUUCUAAAAUUCUCACGUUUCCCUCAUGCUUCUUAAUGUGAAAUAAAUGUCAGCUGAAAUAACA